rnacentral:tRNA from 1 species
CGGGACGUAGCUCAGCUUGGACAAUAGCGCGCGCAUGGGGUGCGCGAGGUCGCUGGUUCGAAUCCAGUCGUCCCGA